rnacentral:rRNA from 1 species
UCCGGUUGAUCCUGACGGACCUGACUGCUAUCGGGAUAAGACUAAGCCAUGCAAGUCUAACGUUUCAGCUAUGGAGAGACGUGGCGUACGGCUCAGUAACACGUAGUCAAUCUGCCCCACGGACGGUGACAACGUCGGAAAACUGACGGUAAUCGCCGAUAGGGAAGAGGUUCUGGAAAGCCCUCUUCUUUCAAAAGUGGUAAAUGCCAUGCUUUUUACUAUGCCGUGGGAUGGGACUGCGUCCGAUCAGGCUGAUGGUGGGGUAACGGCCCACCAUACCUAUAACCGGUACGGGCCCUGAGAGGGGGAGCCCGGAGAUGGAUCCUGAGACAAGGAUCCAGGCCCUACGGGGCGCAGCAGGCGCGAAACCUCCGCUAUGUGCGAAAGCAUGACGGGGUUAUCCCGAGUGUCAGCCGAUGAGGUAGACUUUUCCUUGGUCCAAAAGGCCGAGGGAAUAAGGGGAGGGCAAGAUUGGUGUCAGCCGCCGCGGUAAUACCAACUCCCCGAGUGGUCAGGAUGUUUACUGGGCUUAAAGCGUCCGUAGCCUGUUUGGUAAGUUUUCCGUUAAAUCCGACGUCCUAAGCGUUGGGCCGCGGAAAAUACUGUCAGACUUGGGAGUGGAAGAGGUCGGCGGUACUUACUGGGGAGGGGUAAAAUCCUUAGAUCCAGAGAGGACCAUCAGUGGCGAAGGCGGCCGACCAGGACACGUCCGACGGUGAGGGACGAAAGCUAGGGGAGCGAUCCGGAUUAGAUACCCGGGUAGUCCUAGCUGUAAACAAUGCAGGCUAGGUGUGUGAUCGGUUACGAGCCGAUCAUGUGCCGUAGAGAAAUCGUUAAGCCUGCCGCCUGGGAAGUACGGUCGCAAGGCUGAAACUUAAAGGAAUUGGCGGGGGAGCACUACAAGGGGUGAAUCCUGCGGUUUAAUUUGAACCAACGCCCGAAAGCUUACCCGAGGGGACAGCAGUAUGAAGGCCGAGCUAAAGACUCUGCUAGACAAGCUGAGAGGUGGUGCAUGGCCGUCGCCGGUUCGUAUCGUGAGAUGUCCUGUUAAGUCAGGCAACGAACGAGACCCGCGCCAUCAGUUGCUAGAGGGAUUCUUUUGAAUCUCUAAGGAAACUAAUGGGACUGCUACUGUAAGGUAGAGGAAGGAGCGGGCUACGGCAGGUCAGUAUGUCCCAAAUCCUCGGGGCCACACGCGGGAUGCAAUGGCACGGACAAUGGGCUCCGACCCCGUAAGGGGUAGGCAAUCCCGAAACCGUGUCUCAGUUGGGAUUGAGGGCUGCAACCCGUCCUCAUGAACCUGGAAUCCCUAGUAACCGCGUGUCAUCAUCGCGCGGUGAAUACGUCCCCGCUCCUUGCACACACCGCCCGUCGCUUCACCCGAGUCGGGUUUUGUUGAGGCCUGAUCAUCUUGGUCAGGUCGAAGCUGGGUCUGGUAAGGGGGAAGAAGUCGUAACAAGGUG